rnacentral:rRNA from 1 species
GAUGAACGCUAGCUACAGGCUUAACACAUGCAAGUCGAGGGGCAGCAUUUAGUUUGCUUGCAAACUAAAGAUGGCGACCGGCGCACGGGUGAGUAACACGUAUCCAACCUGCCGAUAACUCUGGGGAUAGCCUUUCGAAAGAAAGAUUAAUACCGGAUGGCAUAGGAUUAUCGCAUGAUAAUCCCUAUUAAAGAAUUUCGGUUAUCGAUGGGGAUGCGUUCCAUUAGGCAGUAGGCGGGGUAACGGCCCACCUAGCCGACGAUGGAUAGGGGUUCUGAGAGGAAGGUCCCCCCACAUUGGAACUGAGACACGGUCCAAACUCCUACGGGAGGCAGCAGUGAGGAAUAUUGGUCAAUGGGCGAGAGCCUGAACCAGCCAAGUCGCGUGGAGGAAGACGGCCCUACGGGUUGUAAACUCCUUUUACCUGGGAAUAACGGGCGCUACGCGUAGCGCUGUGCAUGUACCGGGAGAAUAAGCAUCGGCUAAUUCCGUG